rnacentral:antisense_RNA from 1 species
AGAGCUCGCAAGGCCGCCGCCAGCUCUCCCAGGGCGUCCCCUCGGUGGCCGCCUCAGUUUCCCUGGCCGUAAAACGCAGGCGAUCGCGCUCAAUGCCCCGGGAGACGCCGGGGUCCGCGGGCCCUUCUGGCACCGGGUCCUCCUUCAGGUUCGGGCACCCGGGUCCCUCCACGCGGGGCGAGCGCGGCGAUGAGAUUGGUCCGUGCUGCGCUCAGCCCCGCUUUCACUAUCCCUCUGCUCCAGGGGCAGCAGAAUCAGCAGAUGAGCCCCCGGCGUGCAUGUGGCCCACACGCUCCGGCCGUAAAAAUUAAACAGACGGGGAAUAUUCAUUUGUGCAGAGCUCUCUACAGGGCAAUACAGAAAUGUGUCGUUCUAAAGGGUUAACGAUUUGCAAUUUGCAUAUCCUCCAACACAUGGAUUUUACUGAUUCGGUUAUGGAUGUGUGCAAAGAAUUUGCUGCUCGCACCCUGUGAGGAGGGUUACCUCUGUGGAGCCGGUGAAGGCGAUCUUGUUGAUCUGAGGGUGAGAAGAAAUUGCUGCUCCCACUGUGGGCCCGAAUCCUGGCACGAUGUUCACCACUCCUGGAGGGAACCCGGCCUGGGAAGAAAUCAAGAUAGCACUUGAAGAAGAACGGACUUCAUCCACCACGGAUCCACAUUUGGGCCGAGAGAGCCGUGGCUGCCUCACAUCCCCACAGGGAAGCCUGGGCUGGGCUGGAUUUACCCAGGACCCAGAAGCAGUUGACCGUGGGCACCCUGGGAGCUGACCUGGGCUUCUCAUCCCCUGCUGCCAGCCCAGUGUGCAGGCUGGGCAAGGGGAGAUGCCGACUUCUCCUUCUGGGGGGGACCCCAUCCCAAAGUGAUAUGCAGUGCAAAUGUGUGGUUAUGCUUCAAGGUGGCCAUGGCCCGCCUGUAGCACAGCACCUUUCCAUGUGGGGGGUGUGUGUGUGUGAGGGAGAGUGUGUGUGUGUGUGUGUGAGGGAGAGUGUGUGUGUGUGUGUGAGGGAGUGUGUGUGUGUGUGAGGGAGUGUGUGUGUGUGUGAGGGGGAGAGGGGUAGCUUGAUCAGAAUGCCCUGCCCAGGAUCAGAGGCACCUGCAAAAUAUCUGCCGAGAGCUUCAGUUUUGUCUUUUCUUCUUUUUUUUUUUUUGAGAUGGAGUCUUGCUGUGUUGCCCCAGCUAGAGUGUAGUGGCGCGAUCGUGGCUCACUGUAAGCUCUGCCUCCCAGGUUCACGCCAUUCUCCUGUCUCAGCCUCCCGAGUAGCUGGGACUACAGGUGCCCGCCACCACGCCUGGCUAAUUUUUUUUUUUUUUUAAGUAGAGAUGGGGUUUCACUGUGUUAGCCAGGAUGGUCUCGAUCUCCUGACCUCGUGAUCCACCCACCUCGGCCUCCCAAAGUCCUGGGAUUACAGGUGUGAGCCCAGUUUUCAUUUUUUAAUCAGACCCGUUAUUAUUCCAAAUGGUGACAGGGUAUCACUCCCUUAAAGUUCUUUGCUUGUUCAACCUGGGUCUCACCUGGAGCAAGCCCUUCUGGAAGGCAGGGACUGCCACCUCGUUCACGUUCAUGCCUCGUGUUUUUCAUAUACUAAGCCUCUUUAUCAGGCGAGAACACAAAACAAACCAGGUGGAGGAUGCUCUUCCCCACCUGUGCUGAGUCCUACUUGGAACACAUUAUUUCAGAAAGUCAAGAUUUUAGGCACGGUGCUUGAGUCUUUAGAUUUUUAGGCACUGUUUCUUAACAGUUGGGAUUUUCACAUUCCUAAGUCUCACCAGUGUGACUUAAUUAUGCCCCACAUCACCAAAGGAAAGUGGAAAAUUGGCUCAUCACCAGCUGUUCCCACUUUGCUUCUAAGCAACCAUGGACCUGCCUGCCGGUCAUAUCAGCCCGACUAAGAAGAGAAAGGAAUGGAUCUUUUCUUCUGUCCCUCUUUGCUUCCUGUUGCUUUCUCUAAAUCUUUGCUCCAUACAACCUGGGGAUGGAAUGACUAAAGGUAUGUCUGGAAGGAGGCGUCCCAUUGAGCCUCUGUUUCCCUAAGUUCUGGCUGCCUGAGGGAGAAGAGACUGCAUUCAGAGCAGAGGGCACUGAUUAGCAGGGACCCGGCACACGGACUGCUGCAGCCGCCCAGCUAGAGGUGGUGAGGCCACCUCUCCAGAGAAAAAUGGACCAUUUCAUAAACUGAGAAUGCAAAUCCCAGAGAACCUCCCAAAUAUUUGGCUCCCUCUUGGUUGACCCCCCCUGAAAAUUCUCUAGACAAACCACUGGGUCCUCAACCAUAGGUUUGAGCCCAUAAUAAGAGUUAAGCAUUCUCAUUAGGACCACUGGGAGGAAUGGAGUUUCUCCAGCUCAGUGGCCACAAGCAGGAGAAAGAACGUGCAGUCGCCAAGCAAAACACUGGGAGUCAUUCCCUUCCCACUCGAUUGCCAGCAGUCUGCCACUGUCCCAUCUCGUGACGGUGGCCUGGUUCCUAGGAGUGGGAAUGUUACCAAGAACAUGUGAUAUUUUCUUUUUGGAUGUCUCACCUCUUUGAUCAGAGAGCCGAGAUAAAGGGCGGUGAGAGGUGUCUGCUCCGCAGGCUUCAGGACCAUGGUGUUCCCACAGCAGAGGGCGGGUGCCAGCUUCCACACCAGCAUCAGCAGGGGGAAGUUCCACUGCGACAGAGCACAGGGGCUUUGGGGGCCCAGAUCCACCCUCCUACCCUGUCCCAUGUGCCCAACGAUGCCUUUGUGGAGGACACGUGCUUUUCAUGGUCUGGAUUUGGGAUAUAUGGGGUAACAUAGGAGUGUGCAAUGAUCAGAACUGCAAUCCUGCACAGCACUUCGUAAACUGCAUUCUGGGUGGUACUAAUAGGCAGCCUUUGCAAAGAGGAUGCUAUUGCAUGUGUUCUACCUCUCCCUCUAAAACAUCUGCUGAAGACGUGUGCUCCUCCCUGCCUCCAUGGGCACUUUUUGAACCCUCACUUCAUGUUGCCACCUGGCUCUUCAGCUUCCUGCCUGGCUGUUGUUGCAAUGGCCAGAGUCUUCCCAAACAGACAGGCAGCAUUGUUGCAUUUCUUGGGCACCUAUAAGCAUCCCCACCGCCCAGUGAAUAAAGUCCCGGCCCCUUAGCAGCCAAAGCUGCUGGAAGCUGGCCCACACCACCUGCCACGUGUGCUCACCCUUUUCCUCACUUUUGCUCCUGCCUGAGCUCUAGCCCCACCAGCUUUCCUGCUAUUCUCUUCCAAGUAGCCCAGCCACCUCUACACUUUUGCCUAGGCCAUUCCCACUCCUUGGAAAAUCCUUUUCCUUGUUGAACAAGUCUUUCUUAUCUUUAAGGCCCAGCUAAGAGACCACCUUCCUGGGAAUGCUGGCCAUUCCCGACCACUCUGGCUGGGAACCACAGUGCUUUCUGUGGCAUGCCUAAAGCCGGUCUUAGGAGAGCAGAAAUGGGGUCUAAUCCAUCUCAAGAGCCCCCAGGCGUGGAGUUCCAUGCCACGAAGAAAAUGCUUGUUCAACGCUGGUGCAAUCAGAUAAAAACACACCAGAAAUUGAUUCCAAAGGACACAGGGCAGUGGGGCGGGAUCUACAUAGAAUCUACUGAGAAAGGCUGCCAUACUUACUGGAGUGAUGGCCCCACAGACACCAAUGGGCUCAUGCCUGGUGAAGCACACGACGUUGUCAUCUGGAAGAGGGUUACAUGGUGGGGAAGGACACACUCACUUAAUCCAGGUUAGGAACUUCAAGUAGUAAAAAGACAAGAAAGAAACC